GUGCAAGUGUGGUGUUUUCAUUUCAACAUUUUUAUAGGUGAAAAUAUUUUCCAGAACCGUGACGACCAAAACGAGUUUGAAAGAGACAAAAAUCGCCGCGACAUUACGCCUCCCCGCGUCCAGCCCUGCUCCCCUUUGGCGCUCAGCGCUGUCACUGAGAAGAUCAAGAGCGACGAACUGUUCGUCGACGCUGCUCCUACCUUGGCAGCUUGGUUGGAACGCGGUGAAUGCAACAAAAAGAACGCCAAUGUUUUUUACUCGUUAAUC